rnacentral:rRNA from 1 species
ACGCUCGACACCUAGGAGGCAGCAGUGGGGAAUAUUGCACAAUGGGGGAAACCCUGAUGCAGCGACGCCGCGUGAAGGAAGAAGUAUCUCGGUAUGUAAACUUCUAUCAGCAGGGAAGAAAAUGACGGUACCUGACUAAGAAGCCCCGGCUAACUACGUGCCAACAGCCGCGGUAAUCUGAGCGGGCUGGCAAGGC